rnacentral:rRNA from 1 species
UGUUUAAUAAAAACAUUUCCAUCUUUUUGGAUGGUAACCUCUGCCCAAUGCGUGUUUUAAUGGCCACAUGGUGCUAAGGUAGCGUAAUUAAUUGCUCCUUAAAUAGGAGAUUGGUCUGAACGAGGUAACUUAUGGGCUAUUUUUUUAUUAAUAAUUUAUGAAAUUUCAUUUUAUGUAAAAAAGCAUAUAUCACAUAAAAGACGAGAAGACCCUGGAAUCUUUCCCCUAUCUGCCACAGUUGGGGUUUAAUGGGGCCUUCAAAAUACGUGUUGUAUUUUUUUAGAUUGAUUUGAUUUUAGUUACUCCAGGGGUAACAGGGCUAUCUGUUUUAGAGCUCGUAUCUAAUUUCAGGUUUGCUACCUCGAUGUUGAAUUGGAAAAUUUUCUAGGAAGAAGGAGAAAGACCCUGGCCUGUUCGGCCUACUUUUCCACAUGAUUUGAGUUUA